AAGUCGUAACAAGGUUUCCGUAGGUGAACCUGCGGAAGGAUCAUUAACACGUAUCCUAACGUUUAACCACCCGUGCACCUUCAUUGUAACUCUGCGUUAACACGAAUUGCCUUUGCGGAAUAACGAUUCGGGAUCAUAACUUCACACGAGGUGCUACCGAGAAUGCACUUUAGCGGGUGUGUUUUUGGCGGACCUUGAUUUCUUGACUUCGCGCCUCGUAUCCAGGUUGCCGUAGACUUCACCUUUGGUGGUUGUCGAGUACGAAUUGUUUACUCGCAAGGUUUCGGGUUGGCGCAUCCCCGCGUGUCUGGCCCACCGCGGAACAACCUCACUAGAAAACCUGACCGAUGCGCCGGAUCCUCGCGGGUUCAGGCGUCGGAAACCCCGAACAACUGUUAGCAAUGGAUAUCUUGGCUCUC
rnacentral:misc_RNA from 1 species